CACGGGGGGAGCAAGCGUUGUUCGGAAUCACUGGGCGUAAAGGGUGUCUAGGCGGUCAGGUAAGUGAGAUGUGAAAUGCCCCGGCUUACCCGGGGACCGGCAUCUCAUACUGUCUGGCUUGAGUAUGGGAGAGGAUGAGGGAAUUCCUGGUGUAGCGGUGAAAUGCGUAGAUAUCAGGAGGAACACCGGUGGCGAAAGCGCUCAUUUGGCCCAAUACUGACGCUGAAGCACGAAAGCUAGGGGAGCAAACGGG
rnacentral:rRNA from 1 species